GAUAAGCGGUUGUCGAAGCCGUAAAAAAUAAACCUAUUAAACAAUCAACAAUUAACUUGUAGAUAGUGGCAAUAGGGUCGAACCACAGGGAUUUGACACUACGGAUUUUCCUACUAAUGACUUGGACAAGUAAAUAACAAGAAAUUAAAAGAGGGGGGUUUUGUUUUGAUGAUUAAAACUAAAUAGCAAGAGAAAGCAAUAAUUUAAAUAGAUGAGAAUUU
rnacentral:lncRNA from 1 species